rfam:Schistosoma rodhaini strain Burundi genome assembly, scaffold: SROB_scaffold0002377
AUCCACGGCUGACGAGUCCCAAAUAGGACGAAACGCGCCUCCUGGAU